GACAACAUGGCCGAGUGGUCUAAGGCGUGAGACUAGAAAUCUCAUGGGCUCUGCCCGCGCAGGUUCAAAUCCUGCUGUUGUCG